rnacentral:rRNA from 1 species
UGGCGGACGGGUGAGUAAUGUCUGGGAAACUGCCCGAUGGAGGGGGAUAACUACUGGAAACGGUAGCUAAUACCGCAUAACGUCGCAAGACCAAAGAGGGGGACCUUAGGGCCUCUUGCCAUCGGAUGUGCCCAGAUGGGAUUAGCUAGUAGGUGGGGUAACGGCUCACCUAGGCGACGAUCCCUAGCCGGUCUGAGAGGAUGACCAGCCACACUGGAACUGAGACACGGUCCAG